CACGUAGGGGGCAAGCGUUGUCCGGAUUUAUUGGGCGUAAAGAGCUCGUAGGUGGCUGAGUAAGUCGGAUGUUAAAUCCCCAGGCUCAACCUGGGACACCACCCGAUACUGCUCUGGCUAGAGUCCGGUAGGGGAGCGUGGAAUUCCUGGUGUAGCGGUGAAAUGCGCAGAUAUCAGGAGGAACACCAGUGGCGAAGGCGGCUCACUGGCCCGGUACUGACGCUGAGGUGCGAAAGCGUGGGGAGCAAACAGG
rnacentral:rRNA from 1 species